UCUCAAAGGGAAAAAAGCUUAUUUCUCCUUUCUAAUUAAGGCUUUGUACUCUUUGAACAUCAUCUCCCAAUUCUCCCCACCCACCCCCAGCCUCUGGUAACCAUCUUUCCACUCUCUGCUUCUUCGAGUUCAUUUUUUUUUUUUAAGAUUACACAUACAAGUGAGAACAUGCAGCAUUUGUCUUUCUGUGUCCUGUUUACUUCAUUUAGCAUAAUGUCCUCCAGUCCCAUCUGAUAUGGUUUGGCUCUGUGCCUCCACCCAAACCUCACCUUGAAUUGUAAUAACCCUCGUGUGUCAAGGGUGGGACCAGAUGGAGAUAAUUGAAUCCCCCAUGCUGUUCUCAUGAUAGUGAGUGAGUUCUCAUGAGAUCUGAUGGUUUGAUAAGCGGGCUUUUCCCCCUUAGCUCUGCACUUCUCCUUCCUGCCAUCAUGUGAAAAAGGACGUGUUUGCUUCCCCUUCCACCGUGAUUGUAAGUUUCCUGAGGCCUCCCAAGCCAUGCAGAACUGUGAGUCAAUUAAGCCUCUUUCCUUUAUAAAUUACCCAGUCUUGGGCAUGUGUUUAUUAGCAGCGUGAGAACGGACUAACACACCAUCCAUGUUGUCCCAUCCCACUUACAGGUAUUUAACCAGAAUAUUUGAAAUCAGCAUGUCGAAGAGAUGUUUGCCCUCCCAUUUUCAUUGCGGCACUAUCCACAGUAGCCAAGUUAUGGAAUCAGCCUAGACAAGUGUCUUCCACGAGUACCUUGCCUGCAAGCUGAGAAGUGUACAAUCCUCACAACAAGGAGUGAUUGGCAAUCAGGUGCAGAACUAAGCUAUUUCUUUCACCACCACAGUCCUUCCAAAAUGUUCCCAACUGGCAUCAGAUAUUCUCAUCCUGACCAGUGAGACAACCCAAUGAAAACUGGUGACUCAGAAAGGGUCUUGAAAUGGCUUCAGUGAUCAGAACAUUCUUCUGCUUAAGAACCUAAAGGGGCCAGUGAAAGGAUGCUUUUGAUUUGUAUUUCAUUUAGAAUGGUCCAUACUCAACCAAGUGUACUCCAAGGAUUUCCAUGGGGCCUCAGAGGCUUGAAGUGGGGAAAAGCAAGACAAAGACAACAACAAAACUUUCUCGCUGCUUGCCUUAUCAUACUGGGAAAAUGCCGGCUACUUGGGGAAAGUCUUUCUUUGAGAAGUUGGUGAACUGAGAAAAAAAUGGAUAGAAUUAGAACAAAACAAUUUCACUGGAUUCUAAGUCUAUUUAAACUACAGUAGUAAAUCAAAACCAUACCUCUUUCUCAUUACUCAUGGCCCGAUAGUAGAGCCUCCUAAAUGCUUAUUAAAGCAAAAGCAAGAAGUGUUUCAUUUCUAAAUACAUUCACAGGAAUCCCCAACAAGGUGGUUGCUUCUUUCUAACUGUUGUUUGUUUUAUGCUUGUUUCUCUUCUUGAAAGAGUUAUCAUGAAACGGAAAGGCUUAAAAGGGGGGUGGGGGUGGGGGUGAGGGUCCAAAUAGGCUCUAAUGAGGAAGAAGGAAAUAAAAGUCAAAUUCUC
rnacentral:lncRNA from 1 species